CCUACGGGAGGCAGCAGUGAGGAAUAUUGGUCAAUGGGCGGGAGCCUGAACCAGCCAAGCCGCGUGAGGGAAGAAGGUACAGCGUAUCGUAAACCUCUUUUGUCAGGGAACAAAGGCGGGGACUAGUCCCCGGAUGAGGGUACCUGAAGAAAAAGCAUCGGCUAACUCCGUGCAAGCAGCCGCGGUAAUACGGAGGAUGCGAGCGGUCGCCGGAUUUAUUGGGUUUAAAGGGGGCGCAGGCGGCCUGUUAAGUCAGCGGUAAAAGCCCGGGGCUCAACCCCGGCGAGCCGUUGAAACUGGCGGGAUGGAGUUGGAGAGAAGUACGCGGAAUGCGCGGUGUAGCGGUGAAAUGCUUAGAUAUCGCGCAGAACCCCGAUUGCGAAGGCAGCGUACCGGCUCCACACUGACGCUGAGGCACGAAAGCGUGGGUAUCGAACAGGAUUAGAUACCCCUGUAGUC
rnacentral:rRNA from 1 species